CUUUCAGGCACUCAAACUUUGGUUCUGGGGCAGGCAAGAAGCCCCCAAGCAGGGGUCACGGACAAGGGGCUUCCUCCAGGUCUAAGAGCAUGAAGGAAAAAUUGACACAGACACUGCCCGUAAGGAGCUCAUGGCCUAGUAGAGGAUAGAGACCUGUCCUGCAAAGAAUGCCAGGGAGCCACAUGAAGGAAGAAGAGCUUUUCUCACCCAGAAUCGAUACUGUUGUGACUCCCAGGGAGGUGGUCCAAAGGAUUCUUUGGGUUUCAUUUUUCAGGUUUAAAUUUAGUCCAUCUAGAAUUUAUGGUGGUAUCUUGUGUGUGGUGGACAUUGGAGUUAUUUUUUUCUGAAUUGGUCUAAUAUCGUUUAUUGGAAAUUGUGCCUGGCCUGUCACCACUCUCUUCUAAUCUGCCUGAGAUCUGUUAUUUAGAACAUAUGACAGACAUACAAAAGAUGAGUUCACAAUAAGUGGACUAAAGAACACAUGGGCGUCACCAUCAUUGGAGAUUUGACACUCAGCGCUGGCACAGCGUGAGACAAACCUGUGAGAACAUCCACUCCUGACGACACCAUCUAAGCCUCGGGAGGUGCAGGGAGGUUGUGAACCUGCCCCAAAGUUCACAGAGGAUUUGAAUGUGAAUUGGGAAGGUUUAUUUCUAUAAAAAUAUUUAACAGUUAAUAAAAAUUUCAAGAAGUUAAAUAAAAUUUUGGUUAAAAAAUUUUUUUUUUUUAGAGAUUGGCACCUGAGCUAACAACUGUUGCCAAUCUUUUUUUUGUUUGUUUUUCUCCCCAAAUCCCCCCAGUACAUGGUUGUAGGUCCUUCCGGUUGUGGCAUAUGGGACGCCAUCUCAGCAUGGCCCCAUGAGCAGUGCCAUGUCCGCGCCCAGGAUCUGAACUGGCGAAACCCUGGGCCACCGAAGGAGAGCGUGUGAACUUAACCACUAGGCCACAGGGCCGGCCCCUAGUUUUAAAUAUUUUUGACUUAAAUUUUGAUAUUAGUUAAUUAGAACUUUGUGUUUUCCUUUUAAUUUUACUAAUUUUGAUUAUUUAAAAAGUAACUUUGGAAUA
rnacentral:lncRNA from 1 species